UUGAGUCACUGUAGUCCCCACAUGUGUGCAUUAGGUUUUUUUUUUUUUAUAAUGAUAUUUAUUAAAAUUUCAAAAAAUACAUGAAAAUACAAAAUAGAAAAAAAAGUAUAAAGUUUUAAGAUAUAACAAAAAAAGUAGAAAAUAAGGAAAAACAUACAAAAUAAAACAGUUAAAAGCACAAUAAUUUUCCAUAACCUAUCUUCCUUGCUCUUAUUUCCCGGACCUCCUCAUACCUCCCUUCUUUGUAUUCCAGUUCAGUUUGUUGGUUCAGCAAAUCCUUACCAGUAAUCUUUUACCCAAUUGUUAACCUUUUUUUUUCAUAUCUCUUAAAAGCAUUACAGCUAAAAACCUCUUAGUUUCUAUCCGACAUCCUUCUAAAAUUCCUUAAUUUUGCAAUAUUUCUGUAAAUAGUCUUUAAAUUUCUUCCAGUCUUCUUUCACCGACUCUUCUCCCUGGUCUCGGAUUCUGCCAGUCAUUUCCGCCAAUUCCAUGUAGUCAAUCACCUUCAUCUGCCAUUCUUCCAAAGUGGGUAGAUCUUGUGUCUUCCAAUACUUUGCGAUAAGUAUUCUUGCUGCUGUUGUAGCAUACAUGAAAAAGGUUCUGUCCUUCUUUGGCACCAGUUGGCCGACAAUGCCCAAAAGAAAGGCCUCUGGUUUCUUCAGAAAGGUAUAUUUAAAUACCUUUUUCAGUUCAUUAUAUAUCAUUUCCCAGAAAGCCUUGAUCUUUGGGCACGUCCACCAAAGGUGAAAGAAUGUACCUUCAGUUUCUUUACAUUUCCAACAUUUAUUAUCGGGCAAAUGAUAAAUUUUUGCAAGCUUGACUGGGGUCAUGUACCACCUGUAUAUCAUUUUCAUAAUAUUCUCUCUUAAGGCAUUACAUGCCGUAAACCUCAUACCUGUGGUCCAUAACUGUUCCCAGUCAGCGAACAUAAUAUUAUGUCCAACAUCUUGUGCCCAUUUAAUCAUAGCAGAUUUCACCGUUUCAUCCUGAGUAUUCCAUUUCAACAGCAAGUUAUACAUUCUUGACAAAUUUUUAGUUUUGGGUUCUAACAAUUCUGUUUCUAAUUUUGACUUUUCCACUUGGAAGCCUAUUUUCUUAUCCAAAUUAUAUGCCUCCAUUAUCUGAUAGUAAUGAAGCCAAUCUCUCACUUUAUUUUUUAAUUUUUCAAAACUCUGCAAUCUCAAUUUAUCUCCUUCUUGCUCCAAAAUUUCCCAAUAUGUCGGCCAUUUGGCCUCCAUAUUGAGCCUUUUCAGAGCUUUUGCUUCCAUUGGUGACAGCCACCUUGGGGUCUUAUUUUCCAAUAAAUCUUUGUAUCUUAUCCAAACAUUAAACAAUGCUUUCCUAACAAUAUGAUUUUUGAAUGCUUUGUGUGCUUUGACCUUAUCAUACCAUAAGUAUGCAUGCCAUCCAAAUACAUUGUUAAAACCUUCUAAAUCCAAAAUGUCUGUGUUUUCAAGAAGUAGCCAUUCUUUCAGCCAGCAAAAAGCUGCUGAUUCAUAAUAAAGUUUAAGGUCUGGCAGGGCAAAUCCACCUCUUUCCUUGGCAUCAGUUAAUAUCUUAAAUUUUAUUCUGGGCUUCUUGCCCUGCCAGACAAAUCUAGAAAUAUCUCUCUGCCACUUCUUGAAACAGUCCAUCUUAUCUACAAUUUGUAAUGUCUGAAACAAAAACAACAUUCUAGGCAAUACAUUCAUCUUUAUCACAGCAAUACGGCCCAGCAGCGAGAGUUUCAAAUUUGACCAAAUUUCUAAAUCUUUUUUCACUUCCGUCCAACAUUUUUCGUAAUUAUCUUUAAAUAAGUUCCCAUUUUUGGCUGUCAUAUUAAUCCCCAAGUAUUUCACUUUCUUUACCACAUUCAAUCCUGUCUCAUUCUGAAACCUCUCUCUUUCAAUCAGUGUUAAAUUUUUCUCUAAAACCUUAGUUUUUAACUUGUUCAAUUUAAAACCUGCCACCUGACCAAAUUCCUGAAUUAAUUCUAAAACUCUUUUAGUACUAGAUUCUGGCUCCUGUAGCGUCAAUACUAGAUCAUCUGCAAAUGCUCUCAGUUUGUACUGUUUAGCUCCGACCUGUAUGCCCUUAACCAACCGGUCCUUUCUAAUCAUGUUUAGCAAAACCUCCAGGACCGAUAUAAAAAGCAGUGGGGAAAUUGGGCACCCCUGUCGUGUCCCUUUUUCUAUCUUAAAUUCUUCCGUGACCACAUUAUUUACAAUUAAUUUAGCCUUUUGUUCAGAGUAUAUUGCACCUAUACCAUUUUCAAAGCCUUGGCCUACCCCCAUCCCAUGCAAGUUCUUCUUCAUAAAACUCCAAGAGAUAUUAUCAAAAGCUUUCUCCGCGUCGACAAAUAUCAAUACUGCUUUAGUGUUUAUAUUCACUUCUAGUUUUUCCAAAAUAUCAAUUAUAUUCCUCAAAUUAUCGGACAAGUGUCUUCCCGGGAGAAAGCCCGCUUGGUCUUUAUGAAUCUCUUUCAUCAAUACUUUUUUCAAUCUCUUGGCCAAAAUGUCUGCAAAAAUUUUGUAAUCCACAUUAAGUAACGAUAUAGGGCGGUAGUUCUUAAGCUGAGUCUUUUCAGUCUCUGUUUUCGGUAUAAGUGUGAUAUACGCCUCUUUCCACGAUUCUGGUGCCCUUUUCCUCCAAUAUUUCAUUGCAGACUUCCUUCAAAGGUUGCAAUAACCACUCUUUCAGAGAUCUAUAGUAUCUGGAAGUCAGCCCAUCCGGUCCUGGAGAUUUGCCCAGUUGCAUAUUUUGUAUGGCACCUUCUACUUCCUGUUCAGAUAUUUUAUAGUUCAGCAUUAAUUUACUUUCUUGAGAGAUUUUUGUAGGCCAUUUGUCUUCAAAAAUUGGUCUAUGUCCAUUUCCUUCUGUGGCCCUUGUGUGUAUAAUUGUUUAAAGUACCUCUGGAAGCAAUUUCUGAUCUCAUUUGGAUUAUGUAUACUCUUUCCUUCCACUUCUAGGUUUAUAAUGGUAUUUAAUUUUUGUCUUUUUUCAUUUGCCAGGCCAACAGUUUUCCACAUUUAUUAGCUGAUUCAAAUGUUUUUUGUCUCAUUUGUUUGAUUUUCCAUUCUAUUUCCUGAUUCAUCAUUUCCAUAUAUUGUACUUGAUAUAAUUUUAUUUCUCUCAAAAUCUCCUGGGACUUUGGUUUUGCUCUCAAUUUCUUCUCACCUUCUUUUAUUUUUUCCAAGAUUUUGUCUUUCUUUUCAUUUUGACUUCUCUUCUUUAUUGCAUUCUGUUGUAUCAAAAACCCUCUCAUCACAGCUUUGCUUGCGUCCCAGAUUACUCUUUUUUCUACAUUAGUGUUCAUGUUUAUUUCAAAAUAAUCUCUCAAAGUUUUUUGGGCCUUUUUGUAAACUUCUUCAUCUCUAAAUAAGGUGUCAUUCAUCCUCCAUCUAAAGGAUCCGGUUGUUGUUUGUUUCAUCUCCAUCCUUACAGCAUUGUGGUCGGAACAAGUUUUUGGGCAGAUUUCUACUUUCUUUAUCUUUGGUGCCAUUCCUCUAGUUAUCCAUAUUUGGUCAAUUCUAGUCCAUGUCAUCUUGGCUUCAGAAAAGAAGGUUCCUUCUCUUACAAGGGGUUCUUUACCCUCCAGAUGUCCACUAAGUCCAUAUUGUCUAUCAUCUCAAAAAAUGUUUUCGGUAGUCUACCAUCCUUGGUGACUACCUGUCUUUGUGCCUUGUCCAUAUUUGUAGAUACUACUCCAUUCAUGUCCCCCAUCAAAAUCAAAUUGUAAUCCAAAUGAUCCAGUAAAGUCUCAUGCAACUUUUUAUAGAAUUCAGAUUUCCCCUCGUUCGGUGCAUAAAUUCCCACAAUUAAAAAUUUCUCUCCUUGUAGUUGAAUUUCAAUUGCCAAAAAUCUUCCUUGGUCAUCUUUAAAAAUAAGUUUCGGUAAAAGUCUCUCCUUUGCAUAAAUCACAACUCCUCUUUUUUUGACUUUGUCAGAUGAAACAAACUCCUGUCCUAAUCUCUUAUUAAUCAAUAACUUCCUAUGUGCCCUUGUUAUAUGUGUCUCUUGUAGGCAAAUCAAGUCCAAUUGUUCUUUUUUUAAUAGAUGAAACACACUUUUUCUUUUCCGAGGAGAAUUCAAACCGUUACAAUUCCAGCUUAAUAGUUGCAGAGCCAUGAUGGGGGCUACUUCACUUUACCUCCAACUGCCCCGAGUGCCGAUUCUUGUUCUGUGGGUAGUAUCACUUUUCUGGACCGUGCAGUCCAAAGGAUAAAUUUGAUAUGUCUAGUAUGCCUUUUGGUUCUUCUUCAGAUUCCCCUUCUUUCAGUAGGUCUUCCUCGUGGUCUUUCAAGAAUCUGUCUUUUUCCUCAAUUGAUUUUAUUUUUAUCUUUCUUCCUUUAUAUUUAAAGGACAGGCCUUGAAGAAAUUCCCACCUGAAAAGAAUUCUAUUUCUUUUCAACAAAGUCACUAGGUCUCCGUAAUUAGACCUUAAGUCCAACAGAUGCUUUGGGAUGUCCUUAAAAAUCACUAAACUUGAAUCAUCAAUUUCCAAAGUUUUUUGAUAGUGCAGAUUCAGAAUUUUAUCUCUCUCUUCUUUUGUUCGAAAGGUAAUCAAACAGUCUCUCACCUUGCCCUUACCUUGUCUUCUUCCGAGCCUAAAUGCGUUCACUAUCUUAAAUUCUUGAUUCCCGGGGUCCAAUUGCCAAAAAUCUGUAAAUUCCUGUGUAAGAAAAUCAGCCAGAUUAUCUUUCUCCCGGUCUGGAACAGCCCUGAUUCUCAGAUUUCUUUGUCUAUCUUUUAAUUCGAUCAUAGAAAAUGUCACAUCGUGGUCCUCCAAUUUCUUGUAUACAGGUGGAAUUUUCUCUUGAGUAGCAAUUGCAAUAUCUUUUGCUUCCUCUGCAGUCUGUCGAAUCGAGGCAGAUUCCUGUAGUAAUUUUUCAAUAGUCUCUGUAUUGGCAUUCACCUUCUGUCCCAAGGUAUUAAUACUUGCAGUAUUUAAAUCAAUUUUAUUUGAUGCUUCCACAACUUGUCUAUUUGUCUCGACUACUUGUCUAUUUGUUUCAGCUACUUGUCUGUUUGUCUCAGUUACCUGUUUACUUAGGCUUUCCAAAGAUUCAUUAAUUUUUGCCAGUGCCUGUGCCAAAACUUCUUCUGACGACAUAACUUUUGGUUUAGACUGUGGGAGUGGGACCCCUGAUGCUCCAGAUGCUCCAGAUGUUGAGCCCCUUCGCGGCAACGCAGUGUCUAUCCGAUAAUGUCUGCCAGACCAAGUAGAUUUUUCCUGAGGUUCUAACUUCCCCUUAUCAUCUGCCAUAACAGUCUCAUAGAAAUUCAAGGUCACUCCCACAGUCAGUCAGUUGUUUUGAAAUAGAAUGGAAUUUUCCUCUUUGUAACUGUUGUUGUAACAAUAUCCAACCUCCUCUAGGGGGACACAGUAACAGUCAGAACUUGUAACUUUUAGAAACAAAAAUAGUCUUUAUAAGUCCCCCAAUUUACUUUAAAAGUCCACAGUCUCAAUGCACUUAAACAGUUACUUUCAAGCCAAAAGAGGUUCAGAAACACUGUAUCCCUUUUGCAGAGUUGGCUGUCAGAAAUAGACUUUCCACUAUGCACCUUUAUCUUAAGGCAGUCCGUUCCAAAUCUUAAACUGUAAAUUUUUCCUUCCUCUCCCCUUCUUUACUGCAGGGAAAUUCAGCUCAGUCUUUUUCCCCCUCCUCUCCUGCAAUCCGGAGGGGGAACCACUUUCAAGAUGUUAGAAUUUAGCUCUUUUUCAAGUAACUUUCUGAGUUUCCGCUUUAAAGUCUCUUUGCUUUGAUCUAUUUACAAUUCAGGGAAGGCAGACUUCCUGGUUGUACCUUCCCAGCUCCGUACCAAAUUAACUUUUUUUUUCCCUUUAAGUCCAAUUUAAUCCUACUCACGGGUAGUUGUUUUCAGAGUCCGAUUAUCCCAGGAAAAAGGCAGCGCUCUCCGGUAACAGCUUCGCGGCUUCGCUCCACGGAAGAAGCAAUUUGCUCACAGCACCACGCCACCCCCGCUCCGCUCCAGAGCCCGUUGCCGAGCUCCUUUAGCAAUUGGGGGGGGCGCAAACGGUGCCCGCUGAGUCCCACGGUCACAGGCUUCACCCGCCUGUGAUUUAUUUGGGGGUCCCCGCUGCGCCGUAGCGACAGGACCCAAAUUCCGUAAAGCCAGUUCUCUCCGAGUUAGAGAGAAGCAGCCAUUACCGAUGGCGCCACCUCCGGAAGUCCGCCACCUCCGGAAGUCUGUGCAUUAGGUUUUGUAAAACGGUUUGAACCAGCUUUUUUGUGUUGAUACUGAUUUCCAAUUCCCCGUUUUGAUCUGGGCUAUGUCUUCUUGUUUCCAGCUCUUUAUUUGGUUAAUAACCCUUAAACACCCACCCACCCACCCAUGGAAGUAUGCUGUCUCUCUGUUUGGUGCUGUGAACAAUAUUUCGGUGACUUACGCUGAUAUCAAAGUGCAGCAACUGUCAAAAUUUGAGGCAUGGUGCUGUUUACCGUUGCAGGCCUGUUUAGCAUUUGCCGCUUGGCAGGGCCAGCUCAAAACAUCUUGCCAACAGAGGCAAAAUGCCUCACCCCCACAGAUCCGGGUCCCCGCCUCAGCCCCAUCACUACAACUGCACCCUCACCUGUGGCUGCACCCGUGCUGCAAGAGUGCCGUGGUGAGGGUGCAGUGGCAGGGGUGAGGGCAACAGGGCUGCGUUGGCAGUGCGGGUGAAGCCCCUCAGGGCUGGGACCAGCACAUAGGUGGGGAUGGGGUGGAGGACAGAUCCAUCACCCACCGAGACCACAUAACACCAGUCUUGAAAGACCUAUAUUGGCUCCCGGUACGUUUCCAAGCACAAUUCAAAGUGUUGGUGCUGACCUUUAAAGCCCUAAAUGGCCUCGGCCCAGUAUAGCUGAAGGAGCGUCUCUACCCCCAUCGUUCUGCCCGGACGCUGAGGUCCAGCGCCGAGGGCCUUCUGGCAGUUCCCUCGCUGCGAGAAGCCAAGUUACAGGGAACCAGGCAGAGGGACUUCUCGGUAGUGGCGCCUGCCCUGUGGAAUGCUCUCCCUUCAGAUGUCAAAGAGAAAAACAACUACCUGACAUUCAGAAGACAUCUUAAGGCAGCCCUCUUCAGGGAAGUUUUUAAUGUAUGACAUAUUAGUGUAUUUUUGGUCUUUGUGGAAGCUGCCCAGAGUGGCUGGGGAAACCCAGCCAAAUGGUCAGGGUACAAAUAAUAAAUUAUUAUUAUUAUUAUUAUUAUUAUUAUUAUUAUUAUUAUCACCUGAAACAAAUGGCUUCACCUCGCCCCAUGCAUGGGGCCACCCCUGCUGCUUGGUAACAGCUUCUGAAAGGAGACAGAGAGAUUAUUGUACUUUUGAUUUUUUUAAAAAAAUACUUAUUAUCAGUGCUUUUUUUCUGGGGGAAUGCAGAAAUACGCAUACCCCUAAACAUUUUGUGAAUCUUUGUACUUUUGUCCGUUUACUGUAUUUAUUUUCCCUGAUUUGAACUAUAAAAUGGUGGUUAAAUAUAAGCACUGCUUAUUAUUAAACGUUUUCUUAGUUUACAAAAGUACCUGUUUUGCCUCUUUUAAUGUUUUUAGACAAGACUUGGACCAGGUAAAUUCAUUUUAAACUAUGUCAGUGAAGCAACGUAUUCCGAUUAGCUGUCAGUUGGGAGUAGACUGAAAGGUGAGGAGAAAUAAUGCCAGUUGGUAAAGUCAGUGAGGGAGGGAGGUGUGAGGAAAACACUUCCAAAAUCUGAGGUAAAAAUGGGUAUCUGAGGCCUGAAUAUCAAGCUGUUCUUCCCGAUUAUGUUAAUACUGUAAUGGUUUGCUGGUGAAUAUCAGAAGAAGGGAGCUGGUGUCUGUGUUAGGCCAAGAUGCAGCCCAGAUAAAGAUUUUGACAGAAAAAAGUGGAAGAAGUGUGUCACUUCUGCUCAUCCUGUAUAUUUGUAAAUAAAUGCAACUAUUACAAAAACGCUGUAAGCCUGAAGGCACCUUCUUCCAAAGGAAGCUGAAAUUAGGGAAGCACUGAACCUUUGGAUCUUCUCAGUGCUUGGGGGAAUACAGUGCAAAAAAGAGAAAUAUCUCACAGAUUCCAAGAACCACAGGUUAUUUUUUUUUUGGCAGUAUGCUUAAUUUGCAAAGGACUCUUCCUUUUUCCUGGCAUCUCUGAGGUAUUUUUUUGCACCUUAUUCUUGGAUGCUUCCUGGUUUUGUGGUUUUGGGAGGAAUAGGACAAUUGCAACAAUAUAUUCUGUUUUGAAAGCAAAUAGCUUCAAAAUCUUUCUGUCCUUAAAAAUGCUGAUAGAAAUCCCAUUGCCACAUAUUUUUGUCUAAAGAAAGCAGGGACUCCCUAAUGUUUGCAUAGGAGGAAUUUGGGCAGGUGUGUUUACUUACAUCCCUGCAUGAUAAUAUGUUUCUCCCAAAUUCCCUCCUCUGCACAAUGAGUAAAUAUACAAGUGUCCUGGUCUCUUUUGCAGCUUGCCUUCAUUAUCUUAUCAUAUCAAUCUUCUUCUCCCCAUUCCUUGGCCUCCAUAAUUUGAAUUUGUGCCUUAACAUUAUGUCCAUUCAUUUUAAUGACUUUAUUUGUUUUGUGGGGGCAGCUUUGCAGCUGGAACCUGAAAAGGAAAAAAUUGUGCUGAACAAUGGUGGAUGCAGUGCCUCAACAGACAAGUUUCAGGCUUUCCUAAGACUCAACUUCUGCAAUCAAAAUCAGAAUAGGUCCUCAGGUAGAAUUGAUAUAUUGUACUGCUG